rnacentral:snoRNA from 1 species
UUUGGUGCAGUGAUUAUAAAAACAUUCCUCGUACUGACGGGAUCUCCCCUGUGAACGACUACUAUACACCCAUAGAAUCUGAGCACCA